GCUGGGCGUGGUGGUGCACGCCUUAAUCCCAGCAACCUGGGAAGCUGGUGCAGGAGGAUAGCAAGUUUGAGGCCAGCCUGGGCAACUUAGCAAGGCCCUAAGCAACUUAGCAAGACCCUAUCUCCA
rnacentral:sRNA from 1 species